CACUUCAAUGGCUGGGCAGGUUUGUUUAUCCUCUGUUCCCGCAUUUUCUUCAUCCACCUUCUGUACUUUCGUUCAUUUCUGACAAAUUCACGCGCGAACAAUGGCGUUGAUAAAUCUUUGCACACGUGCGUUUUCACUCAAGUCGUGUGCGUAAUAGUGUUCUUCCACUGCGUAAGCGAAGAGACCAAACGUUAGAGCCCCUGAUCGUUCGAAUUGCCGCGCUGUCCACCAUUCGGGUAAAUUGGAAUGCCAUGAAGACCGAUUUGUGACUGAAGUCUGCUCUUUUGCGUUCGAAACGUUGGGAAACUCAGCUGACCAAACUGCAGCACUCCAAGAGGAUGCCAAAGCAAAGCUGCCCUGUAAACCGUUACUGUUCAUGAGUCCGCUCCUGCAGCCGUCAUAUGACCACUUGUGGGCAACCCAUGAAUGUACCUUGCUCUGGACGCUGUCGCAUCACCUGUGCUGCAAACUAGCAUUGGCUCUUUCAAGGUUCUGGAACACCAGGUUUGAUUUCUACAACAUCCCCUCGUGUCUUCCAGAGCAGAAACAACAAACAAGUGGACAGGGAGCCAGCCAUCUGUCAGGAACCUCAGAUGUAUUUUUGUGGUCUGUGUGGAUAUUCCACAAGUGGAAAGGCUCACCUAGCUAUUCAUGCUUACCUCGUACAUGACACACAGCCAGUACCAUGGCAUCAGCACCCUGGUAGUGCUGAGCCUCCUAUUUCCAACAGUGAAACAAAAAGUUUAGUCAGACCAAAGGAGUAUGUAUGCGCACUUUCCAAAGACUGCCGUUUCAAGUGCCUCACAACUGCUAUGUUUCGUGAACACCUCAAGCGGUAUCACUGGGGGUUUAAAGUAUAUGUCUGUCAUUUGUGUUUAGCCCAUGCUGAUUCUUCAAGUAGGCUGUUGGAGCACUACAGGUGUGAUCACGCCUUUUUUAAAGUUCAUUGUCUUUACUGCGACUUGGGCGGAGAUGAUGACUGGGUCAUCAUGCGCCACAUAAUGGAGGAACACUCUUACAAGCCAUUUAGGCUGUUGCUUAGAAAUGGGGACUCGCUCACUGUUGUUCAAGAACUGCGACAGUUGGCUGUAGAAUAUUUGACAAAAGAGCCUGUACAGCGAGAGCUCCCGCCACAACCAUUGAUUCUUGCAUUACCACAGAUUAAAGCAUGUUCAAGUGAAUCAAGACAAAUCACGCCAGACAUUUGUGGAGCAGCAUUGGAGGAAGAAGUUGCAGAAAAUAACCCUACAAGUUUUAAGCACACUGUUGAGAUGGAUAUGGAACUAGAAAAUGAAUGUGUACUUCCAUCAUGUGAGCAAUCUCAACGCGAAAAAGAAAUUGACCAUGAUCGACCAGCACCCAGCAUAACUGAAACGGGACUGUGUACCUUCCCCAUUGCAGAAAAUAAUUCUACAACUUGCAAUGUAAAUGCAAAUCACCACACUGUUGAGAUGGAUAUGGGACUAGAAAAAAAUAAAUGUCUACUUCCAUCAUGUGAGCAUGCUCACAGUGAAGAAAUUGACCAUGAUCAACCAACACCCAGCAUAACUGAAAUGGGACUGUCUACCUUCCCCAUUGCAGAAAAUAACCUUACAAGUUGCAAUGUCAAUGCAAAUCGCCACGCUGUUGAGAUGGAUAUGGGACUAGAAAAAAAUAAAUGUCUACUUCCAUUAUGUGAGCGUGCUCAAAGUGAAGAAAUUGACCAUGAUCAACCAACACCCAGCAUAACUGAAAUGGGACUGUCUGCCUUCCCCAUUGCAGAAAAUAACCUUACAAGUUGCAAUGUCAAUGAAAAUUGCCACACUGUUGAGAUGGAUAUGGGACUAGAAGGAAAUGAAUGUCUACUUCCAUCAUGUGAACAUGCUCCAAGCAAAGAGAUUGACCGGGAUCGACCAACACUCAGCGUAACUGAAAUGGGACUGUCUGCCUUCCCCAUCGCAGAAAAUAACCCUACAAGUUGCAAUGUCAAUGAAAAUUGGCACACUGUUGAGAUGGAUAUGGGACUAGAAGGAAAUGAAUGUCUGCUUCCAUCAUGUGAGCAUGCUCAAAGUGAAAAAAUUGACCUUGAUCAACCAACACCCAGCAUAACUGAAAUGGGACUGUCUACCUUCCCCAUUGCAGAAAAUAACCUUACAAGUUGCAAUGUCAAUGCAAAUAACCACACUGUUGAUAUGGAUAUGGGUCUAGAAAAAAAUAAAUGUCUACUUCCAUUAUGUGAGCGUGCUCAAAGUGAAGAAAUUGACCAUUAUCGACCAACAUCCAGCAUAACUGAAAUGGGACUGUCUACCUUCCCUGUUGCAGAAACUAACCCUACAAGUUGCAGUGUCAAUGAAAAUUGGCAUACUGUUGAGAUGGAUAUGGGACUAGAUAGAAAUGAAUGUCUACUUCCAUCAUAUGAGCAUGCUCAAAACGAAAAAGAGAUUGACCAUGAUCGACCAACACUCAGCGCAACUGAAAUUGCUCUCUCUACCUUCCCAGGUAAACAACAAUUCUUUUGUAACAUAGAAGACUGCAGCAUGGAAUAUGGGGAUGUGUUUGAUUUUAUGAACCAUCUUGCUGAGUGUCAUCCCUUGCAGUCAUCACUUAACUGUCCUAAGUGUGGCUUUCUUGUUUCUAUCGUAGAUCUCCUCUCGCACAUUGUUGAAAGGCACAGUGGCAUUUUGUUUUGUCCCUACAAAGACUGCUCAUUUGGAAGCACAAAUCAAUGUGAUGUUGACAAUCACAUAAUUCAGAUGCACCAAAUCUACCAGGAUGAGCAAGGCAAAGCUGACCAAGCUGUAGCAGCUAGAAAAGCAGAGUUUUGUGCUCCGAAUAUUUUAUCCUCCUCAACUUGUGCAGAAACUGAGGGCUGUAAAGACACUGUUGAUUUUGAACCUGGAGCAUGCUAUGAAAAUGGCAAGGCUGAUGAGCAGUAUGAUGCGAGCCAGGCAGAAUCUGCAGAUGACCUGACUGCCAGAAAGUAUUUUUGUGAUGUGUGUUCUACAUGCUGGGACACGGUGCUUUCCUACAUUUGCCACAUGACUACCAUGCACACAGUGACAUUCUUCUGUGGACAUUGCUUAAAGUCAUACAAAAAAUCAAGGUGUCUGCUCAUGCAUGCUGGUUGUCAUCAUAUAGGGCAGCCAUUCUCUGUGUGGAGUCUUCAGGAUGGAAAAGUGGUUGAUGUAGGUAUGCAGGUGGCACCAUCAUGGGUAGAUGAAGCUCAGCAUUACCUGAAGGGGGCCGGUCGAUCAAGGCUUAAAGCAAAGGGCAAAACCAUGAUAAAAAAUUUGAAGAAAGCAAUUGAUUUUGUCACCUCUGCCUGUGUCGGCAGUCAAGUGGAGCAACCGCAAUGCAGUGCCAUGCCCACCCAUGCAGAUGGUAAUAGAAGACCAUCUGCAACCCAAGAGAUGCCAGCGCAGCAUACAAAGCCUGUGGUCAAUUGUAUAUACCCAGAUGAUGGCUCCUUCUUCAAUGCAGAAGGUGGCCCCGCUCUUCAAGACCAGGCAUUGUCUGAGCCUCUGUCUUCGCUGGUUCUCCACAGUGACAACAGCACAGAUGAACCGUCAGAGGAAUCCAACAUAUCUACACCGUUGCCUUAUGCAUUGAAAGGCUUUGGCAUGGCUUCCAUCAAAUCUUCUGUACAGCCUCAAAAAAGUAUUUUAGAAAAAACCUCCUGCAUAGAAUCACAAGGCAAAUUGCGAGGUAAAUUUCGGCUGAAAAUACUUGCAUCAGCAUUUAUUGAUGCUGCUGCUUGCAAAAAAGUUAAUGGAAGCAUUGUAAUUGACGAAAAUGUUCUCCAAAAACUGUCUGAACUGAAUACCAUGCACACACCUGGAAGGAAUUCGACCAAAGUACCCAGCUCUUUGCUUUCUGGAGUGCAUGAAGGGUCCCAUGUGUGCUCUGAAUGUUUUAUAAGCUUUGCCACUUUUGAAAGACUAUGUAAGCACAUUGUAAAAACUCAUGGUGCAACCACUGCCAGUGACAUUGACAGUGCCGGUGCUGUAGUAAGUUUAGGUGAUUGGGCACCACAAGAAUUUACAUCUAUUUCCAACACCUUCAGGAGUGUCCAGUUUUUCCCCAAUGGUCAUAUCAAAGUUGAAAACUCAAGAAAUAAUGUGAUGUUGCACUUGAAGCAGAUCAAGUCGAAGUACUCUAAAAGACAAACCAUCAUUGACAACCUCUUUGUCCGACAUUUCGAUGCUCGAGUGCCAUACAGCCAGUUUGCAAGUACAAGAAACUUGAACCCUGUUGUUCGAUUGGUCAGGCUGCCAGCCAUAAAGCAAGAGAAACAGUGAACUCUUAUGGCAUUUGUGUAAUUGCAUCUCUUAAACUUAAAACAGAUCUCCAUUUCAUAUUUGCGAUGUCAGAGCAUGGUGAUCUUAUGCAGAUUUUAUCUUCAAUGUCUUGGACAGAUCAAUAUAUUCAUGUCUUAUUUAUAUGUCAUAGUCAUUUUGAUAUUACUUUCAAUAGAAUGCAGAAUUUUUAAGUUCAGUUCUGCCGCUUGUUUUUGCUUGCUUGCUGAUUGUUUUUGCAAAGCAGCAAGCUGUUUACGUUACAAGGCAACAAACAUCCUUUUUUCAUUCAUGCAUCUAUAAUUGUGAAUAAACCACCAUGGCUUUUUCAAAGCUACCAGUGUUCCAUCUGCAGCCUGAAUAUUCUGUACAACUGUAUGUUGAAGUUACAAUGGCUACAGCUAAGCCUUUCUGAGCUCAACCUGUCCUUAACUCCAUAUUUUUUACAUGAUGUAUUGGAAGUGGGCUGCUUUGUAUGACGAUUUUGCAGGGAUGUACACAAUAUGGUAUAUCCUUUAUUGCUCAGGGCCAGUAUUUAUGCAUGCAAAAGUGUAGCUGUGAUGUGGUUUACCUUUACUGUGUGGUUAUGUAGAACACUUGGUAUAUAUUUGUGUAUUACUUUGUAUUUUUUUUAUUGGGUUGUGGCAAGCUGGUGUGGAAUAACCUGAACAUUGUUUCCUUUGUUAGGCUUGUGUGCCCACACUGCUGCCCGCAACAGGUCAUUGUGCAUUGUACUACAGCCCUCACUUUUCCUGGGUUGACAGAUGCCCCUGCAUCACCAUCUUUGAUUGUGGAGCCUUCAGGAUGCUGUGCUUUGAGGCUACCAUGGUGCACAAAACUUGUGCAGCAUCUGGAGGUUCAAAGCUCACUCUGCUUUGCAAGCAUUUUCUGAGUCGCUGAUUGUCGACAUAUAACAGGCCUUACUGGAAACAUGAAAAUGACAAUUCAAAAUGUCUGCUGUAUAGCUUUUAAAUGUUGUAGAAGUUGAGGGGUACUCGUCAGCUGAAGCAGUCACCCUUUCAUGUUAGAAAGGCAGAAUGUGAACACAAUAUGAUUGGAGCGAACAUUUGCAAAUACACACAACAAUCUUAUUUCAUAUAGAAAAAUGUUUUGAUGGUUACAGCCGAUUCCAACAAACUCUCGUAGCUUGUGUGCACCAUACGAUUUAGAGGGAACCCAUCCAACCAACUUAGACAAAGUUUGUUGAAUUUGCACUCCCCACUGGUGACGAAGUAAGCACACUGGCUUUUACUUUUUCCUCUUACCUAGCCCGCUUUUUGCUUCUUGCCACUAGCUGGAGCACAUUCCAUUUAAAAAAAAAUUUUGCUUAGUGUGUGAAGUAUCAACAAAGGAAAUGUGGUUCCGACACAUUGCAAAUGUGCAAGUCGUAAAGAAGAUGCCAAAAGGCCCAUUUCACAAGUUUCUGGAAGAUUCUCAAGAUGCCAGCAUAUUGAUGCUUAUUGCACAAAUGCUAUGACUGAGCUCUGCAUCGUUUUACAUUUCCAGAAUGUAA